UACGGAGGGUGCAAGCGUUAUCCGGAUUUAUUGGGUUUAAAGGGUCCGUAGGCGGAAUUGCAAGUCAGAGGUGAAAUCCCACAGCUUAACUGUGGAACUGCCUUUGAUACUGCUAUUCUUGAGUAUAGUUGAAGUGGGCGGAAUGUGCGGUGUAGCGGUGAAAUGCAUAGAUAUCGCACAGAACACCUAUCGCGAAGGCA
rnacentral:rRNA from 1 species